rnacentral:rRNA from 1 species
GAAAGUAAAUAAGGGCGUACGGCGAAUGCCUUGGCUCUCAGAGGCGAUGAAGGACGUGACAAGCUGCGAUAAGCUGCGGGUAGGUGCAAAUAACCUUCGAUCCGCAGAUUUCCGAAUGGGGAAACCUUUCCGGUUGAAGGCCGGAAAUCCGUCGAAAGCGGAAGCUAACCUGCUGAACUGAAACAUCUUAGUAAGCAGAGGAAAAGAAAAUAAUAAUGAUUCCCUAAGUAGUGGCGAGCGAACGGGGAAAAGCCUAAACCGGUUUUGUUACGGCAAAAUCGGGGUUGUAGGACUGUAACGUGGACUGUAAUUUUAUAGCAGAAUAUUUCUGGAAAGCUAAACCAUAGAAGGUGAUAGUCCUGUAAGCGAAAUAGAAUUACUACCUAACAGUAUCCUGAGUACCACGGGACCGGAGAAAUCCUGUGGGAAUCUGCCAGCACCAUCUGGUAAGGCUAAAUACUACUGAGAGACCGAUAGUGGACUAGUACCGUGAGGGAAAGGUGAAAAGAACUCCUAACAGGAGAGUGAAAUAGUACCUGAAACCGUGCGCCUACAAGCGGUCGGAGUCUCGAUUUUUCGGGAUGACGGCGUGCCUUUUGCAUAAUGAGCCUACGAGUUACUCCUCUCUAGCAAGGUUAAGUGUGUUAACGCACGAAGCCGAAGCGAAAGCAAGUCUGAAUAGGGCGAUUUAGUUAGAGGGGGUAGACGCGAAACUUUGUGAUCUACCCAUGACCAGGUUGAAGUUCCGGUAACACGGAAUGGAGGACCGAACUAGUAAACGUUGAAAAGUUUUUAGAUGAGUUGUGGGUAGGGGUGAAAGGCUAAUCAAACUGAGAGAUAGCUCGUACUCCCCGAAAUGUUUUUUGGAACAGCCUCGAGUAUAAGUGUCAUAGAGGUAGAGCUACUGAUUGGACUAGGGGGCUUCACCGCCUACCAAAUCCUGACAAACUCCGAAUGCUAUGACAUGUUCCUCGGGAGUGAGGCGUUGGGUGCUAAGGUCCGACGCCGAGAGGGAAAGAACCCAGACCAUCAGCUAAGGUCCCUAAAUAUAUGCUAAGUUGAUCAAACGAAGUCUGAUUGCUUUGACAGCUAGGAUGUUGGCUUGGAAGCAGCCAUUCAUUUAAAGAGUGCGUAACAGCUCACUAGUCGAGCGAUCGGGCGUGGAUAAUAAUCGGGCAUAAAGCAUAUUACCGAAGCUAUGGUUCCAAAGCGUUAAGCUUUGGGAGGUAGGGGAGCAUUCCAGUCUGUAUUGAAGGUGUGUCGUAAGGCAUGCUGGAACGGCUGGAAACGAAAAUGUAGGCAUAAGUAACGAUAAGGCAGGCGAGAAACCUGCCCACCGAAAGACUAAGGUUUCCUGAUCAACGCUAAUCGGAUCAGGGUUAGUCGGGACCUAAGAUCAACCCGAAAGGGGUAGUCGAUGGACAACUGGUUAAUAUUCCAGUACUGGCAAGUACUGCGAUGGGGUGACGAAGGAGUGUAUGGCCUGCGUACUGACGGAAUAGUACGUUGAAGGGUGUAGGUAUAUCUCAUAUAGGAAAAUCCGUUUGAGAUGCUGAAACCCGAUAGUACCGUGAGUCUUCGGACAAGCGGAUAUGGUCUGAAACAAACUUCCAAGAAAAACCUCUAAGCUUCAGGUAUUUGCCACCCGUACCGUAAACCGACACAGGUAGUCGAGGAGAGUAUCCAAAGGUGCUCGAGUGAAUCAUGGCUAAGGAACUAGGCAAAAUAGUCCUGUAACUUCGGGAGAAAGGACCCCCGCGUGAGCGGGGCGCAGAGAAGUGGCCCAGGCGACUGUUUAUCAAAAACACAUGGCUUUGCAAAAUCGAAAGAUGAAGUAUAAGGCCUGACACCUGCCCGGUGCUGGAAGGUUAAGAGGAGAGGUCAUUCGCCUUUGGCGGAGAAGCUUUGAAUUGAAGCCCCAGUAAACGGCGGCCGUAACUAUAACGGUCCUAAGGUAGCGAAAUUCCUUGUCGGGUAAGUUCCGACCUGCACGA